rnacentral:rRNA from 1 species
AACGAACGCUGGCGGCAUGCUUAACACAAUGCAAGUCGAACGAGACCUUCGGGUCUAGUGGCGCACGGGUGCGUAACGCGUGGGAAUCUGCCCUUAGGUACGGAAUAACUCAGAGAAAUUUGUGCUAAUACCGUAUGAUGUCGAAAGACCAAAGAUUUAUCGCCUAAGGAUGAGCCCGCGUAAGAUUAGCUUGUUGGUGAGGUAAAAGCUCACCAAGGCGACGAUCUUUAGCUGGUCUGAGAGGAUGAUCAGCCACACUGGGACUGAGACACGGCCCAGACUCCUACGGGAGGCAGCAGUGGGGAAUAUUGGACAAUGGGCGAAAGCCUGAUCCAGCAAUGCCGCGUUGAGUGAUGAAGGCCUUAGGGUUGUAAAGCUCUUUUACCAGGGAUGAUAAUGACAGUACCUGGAGAAUAAGCUCCGGCUAACUCCGUG